rnacentral:rRNA from 1 species
AGUGAACGCUGGCGGUAGGCCUAACACAUGCAAGUCGAACGGCAGCACAGUAAGAGCUUGCUCUUACGGGUGGCGAGUGGCGGACGGGUGAGGAAUACAUCGGAAUCUACUUUUUCGUGGGGGAUAACGUAGGGAAACUUACGCUAAUACCGCAUACGACCUACGGGUGAAAGCAGGGGAUCUUCGGACCUUGCGCGAUUGAAUGAGCCGAUGUCGGAUUAGCUAGUUGGCGGGGUAAAGGCCCACCAAGGCGACGAUCCGUAGCUGGUCUGAGAGGAUGAUCAGCCACACUGGAACUGAGACACGAUCCAGACUCCUACGGGAGGCAGCAGUGGGGAAUAUUGGACAAUGGGCGCAAGCCUGAUCCAGCCAUACCGCGUGGGUGAAGAAGGCCUUCGGGUUGUAAAGCCCUUUUGUUGGGAAAGAAAAGCAGCAGGUUAAUACCCCGCUGUUCUGACGGUACCCAAGGAAUAAGCACCGGCUAACUUCGUG